rnacentral:pre_miRNA from 1 species
CCCUUAACUAUUAAAAGUUUCGUUUUGGUCCCUUAACUUAUUUUUUGGUUUCGUUUUGGUCACUUAACUUUUUUUUUUAUUUCGUUUUGGUCCUUAACUCUAAUACAUUCAUCCUAACAUAAAGGACCAAAGUGGUUGACGGAGGAAGAGUUAAGGGACCAAAACGAAACCAAAAAAUAAGUUAAGGGACCAAAACGAAACUUUUAAUAGUUAAGGGACCAAAACGAAACCAAAAAAUAAGUUAAGGGACCAAAAUGAAACUUUUAAUAGUUAAGGGA